rnacentral:rRNA from 1 species
AUUGAACGCUGGCGGCAGGCCUAACACAUGCAAGUCGAGCGAGCGGCGGACGGGUGAGUAAUGUAUGGGGACUGCCCGAUAGAGGGGGAUAACUACUGGAAACGGUAGCUAAUACAGCAUACUAUCGGAUAACCCAUAUGGGAUUAGCUAGUAGGUGAGGUAAUGGCUCACCUAGUCGAGGAUCCCUAGCUGGUCUGAGAGGAUGAUCAGCCACAUUGGGACUGAGACACGGCCCAACCUCCUACGGAGGCAGCAGUGGGGAAUAUUGCACAAUGGGCGAAAUCCUGAUGCAGCCAUGCCGCGUGUAUGAAGAAGGCCCUAGGGUUGUAAAGUACUUUCAGUCGGGAAGCGUUACCGACAGAAGAAGCACCGGCUAACUCCGUGCCAGCAGCCGCGGUAAUUC